rnacentral:rRNA from 1 species
CUGGCUCAGAGCGAACGCUGGCGGCAGGCCUAACACAUGCAAGUCGAACGGACCCUUCGGGGUUAGUGGCGGACGGGUGAGUAACACGUGGGAACGUGCCUUUAGGUUCGGAAUAGCUCCUGGAAACGGGUGGUAAUGCCGAAUGUGCCCUUCGGGGGAAAGAUUUAUCGCCUUUAGAGCGGCCCGCGUCUGAUUAGCUUGUUGGUGAGGUAAUGGCUCACCAAGGCUACGAUCAGUAGCUGGUCUGAGAGGAUGACCAGCCACAUUGGGACUGAGACACGGCCCAAACUCCUACGGGAGGCAGCAGUGGGGAAUCUUGCGCAAUGGGCGAAAGCCUGACGCAGCCAUGCCGCGUGUAUGAUGAAGGUCUUAGGAUUGUAAAAUACUUUCACCGGUGAAGAUAAUGACUGUAGCCGGAGAAGAAGCCCCGGCUAACUUCGUGCCAGCAGCCGCGGUAAUACGAAGGGGGCUAGCGUUGCUCGGAAUUACUGGGCGUAAAGGGAGCGUAGGCGGACAUUUAAGUCAGAGGUGAAAUCCCGGAGCUUAACUUCGGAACUGCCUUUGAUACUGGAUGUCUUG